rnacentral:rRNA from 1 species
GACGAACGCUGGCGGCGUGCCUAAUACAUGCAAGUAGAACGCUGAAGGAGGAGCUUGCUUCUCUGGAUGAGUUGCGAACGGGUGAGUAACGCGUAGGUAACCUGCCUGGUAGCGGGGGAUAACUAUUGGAAACGAUAGCUAAUACCGCAUAAGAGUAGAUGUUGCAUGACAUUUGCUUAAAAGGUGCAAUUGCAUCACUACCAGAUGGACCUGCGUUGUAUUAGCUAGUUGGUGAGGUAACGGCUCACCAAGGCAACGAUACAUAGCCGACCUGAGAGGGUGAUCGGCCACACUGGGACUGAGACACGGCCCAGACUCCUACGGGAGGCAGCAGUAGGGAAUCUUCGGCAAUGGACGGAAGUCUGACCGAGCAACGCCGCGUGAGUGAAGAAGGUUUUCGGAUCGUAAAGCUCUGUUGCAAGAGAAGAACGAGUGUGAGAGUGGAAAGUUCACACUG